GAGUAACACGUGGAUAACCUACCUAUAAGACUGGGAUAACUUCGGGAAACCGGAGCUAAUACCGGAUAACAUAUUGAACCGCAUGGUUCAAUAGUGAAAGGCGGCUUUGCUGUCACUUAUAGAUGGAUCCGCGCCGUAUUAGCUAGUUGGUAAGGUAACGGCUUACCAAGGCAACGAUACGUAGCCGACCUGAGAGGGUGAUCGGCCACACUGGAACUGAGACACGGUCCAGACUCCUACGGGAGGCAGCAGUAGGGAAUCUUCCGCAAUGGGCGAAAGCCUGACGGAGCAACGCCGCGUGAGUGAUGAAGGUCUUCGGAUCGUAAAACUCUGUUAUCAGGGAAGAACAAAUGUGUAAGUAACUGUGCACAUCUUGACGGUACCUGAUCAGAAAGCCGCGGGCUAACUACGUGCCAGCAGCCGCGGUAAUACGUAGGUGGCAAGCGUUAUCCGGAAUUAUUGGGGCGUAAAGCGCGCGUAGGCGGUUUUUUAAGUCUGAUGUGAAAACCCCACGGCUCAACCGUGGGAGGGUCAUUGGAAACUGGAAAAC
rnacentral:rRNA from 1 species